CCAGGAGGAUUUGCGGUCCCUUCCGCAGCCUGGGAACUGGCGGAGGUGGAGGGAGGGAUGGAGUCGGAGUCCUGAGCGCAGAGGGAUCUGUUGCUUAGGGUUUGACAGCACUCAACUUGGCUCGAGGGGAAGACAUGUGCCACUUGGUCUCCAGGAUGAACUCGUCACACUGGCUUCCUGGCAGGUACUCGACUGUGCUUGUCAUUGGAGGAGCUUAGGGCCUCCAUGUCGCUGAGGAUGGCUAUGGUGCUUUUCAGGACAGUCCUGGUCUUUGUUAUGAGUGUGACUUCUCGGCUCCAGCGUAGAAACCUCAACCUAUCAGCACAGCUUCUUCACCCUGCUGGCGUGGACUUCCUGUCUUUGAGCGCUGACCUUUGGGCCUUCCCAGCACGGAUCCAUAAAAGAGACUGGUGUGAGUCCUUGUGGGCUCUAGAACUUCAGUUGGACUCAUGGGAGACAUUGUCAUGAGUUUUGGGUCUGCAUCUGGACUCAUGUGGGACAUUGCUAUGGGAUUCAGGCCCUUUGCUAAACAUUCUGUCUCUGAUGUUGUGGAUAGAUUUCCUGCAUUUCUUUGUGUUAACUCUGGGUGACCAUCAUAAAAAGAAUAUUAACA